rnacentral:rRNA from 1 species
UCAGGCCUAACACAUCCAAGUCGAACGGCAGCACGGACUUCGGUCUGGUGGCGAGUGGCGAACGGGUGAGUAAUACAUCGGAACGUGCCCAGUCGUGGGGGAUAACGUAGCGAAAGCUACGCUAAUACCGCAUACGAUCUACGGAUGAAAGCGGGGGAUCGCAAGACCUCGCGCGAUUGGAGCGGCCGAUGGCAGAUUAGGUAGUUGGUGGGGUAAAGGCUCACCAAGCCGACGAUCUGUAGCUGGUCUGAGAGGACGACCAGCCACACUGGGACUGAGACACGGCCCAGACUCCUACGGGAGGCAGCAGUGGGGAAUUUUGGACAAUGGGCGCAAGCCUGAUCCAGCCAGGCCGCGUGCAGGAUGAAGGCCCUCGGGUUGAAACUGAUUGGUACAGAACGAAAAGGCUCUGG